rnacentral:rRNA from 1 species
AGUGAACGCUGGCGGUAGGCCUAACACAUGCAAGUCGAACGGCAGCACAGUAAGAGCUUGCUCUUACGGGUGGCGAGUGGCGGACGGGUGAGGAAUACAUCGGAAUCUACUUUUUCGUGGGGGAUAACGUAGGGAAACUUACGCUAAUACCGCAUACGACCUACGGGUGAAAGCAGGGGAUCUUCGGACCUUGCGCGAUUGAAUGAGCCGAUGUCGGAUUAGCUAGUUGGCGGGGUAAAGGCCCACCAAGGCGACGAUCCGUAGCUGGUCUGAGAGGAUGAUCAGCCACACUGGAACUGAGACACGGUCCAGACUCCUACGGGAGGCAGCAGUGGGGAAUAUUGGACAAUGGGCGCAAGCCUGAUCCAGCCAUACCGCGUGGGUGAAGAAGGCCUUCGGGUUGUAAAGCCCUUUUGUUGGGAAAGAAAAGCAGCAGGUUAACACCCCGCUGUUCUGACGGUACCCAAAGAAUAAGCACCGGCUAACUUCGUG